GUUGUUUCAACAGGUUAGUGCUUCUGGCUGUUAACCAGAAGGUUGGUGGUUUAAGCCCACCCAGAGACU